UACGUAGGGUGCGAGCGUUGUCCGGAAUUAUUGGGCGUAAAGAGCUCGUAGGCGGCUUGUUGCGUCGACCGUGAAAACCCGUGGCUCAACUGCGGGCUUGCGGUCGAUACGGGCGGGCUAGAGUUCGGUAGGGGAGACUGGAAUUCCUGGUGUAGCGGUGAAAUGCGCAGAUAUCAGGAGGAACACCGGUGGCGAAGGCGGGUCUCUGGGCCGAUACUGACGCUGAGGAGCGAAAGCGUGGGGAGCGAACAGG
rnacentral:rRNA from 1 species